rnacentral:rRNA from 1 species
CCUACGGGUGACAGCAGUGAGGAAUAUUGGUCAAUGGGCGCGAGCCUGAACCAGCCAAGUAGCGUGAAGGAUGACUGCCCUACGGGUUGUAAACUUCUUUUAUAAAGGAAUAAAGUGCGGCACGUGUGCCUUUUUGUAUGUACUUUAUGAAUAAGCAUCGGCUAACUCCGUGCCAGCAGCCGCGGUAAUACGGAGGAUCCGAGCGUUAUCCGGAUUUAUUGGGUUUAAAGGGAGCGUAGAUGGGUUGUUAAGUCAGGUGUGAAAGUUUGCGGCUCAACCGUAGAAUUGCAAUUGAUACUGGCAGUCUUGAGUGCAGUUGAGGUAGGCGGAAUUCGUGGUGUAGCGGUGAAAUGCUUAGAUAUCACGAAGAACUCCGAUUGCGAAGGCAGCGUACUAAACUGCGACUGACAUUGAUGCUCGAAAGUGUGGGUAUCAAACAGGAUUAGAUACCCCUGUAGUC